GAUGAACGCUGGCGGCGUGCCUAAUACAUGCAAGUCGAGCGAACAGACGAGGAGCUUGCUCCUCUGACGUUAGCGGCGGACGGGUGAGUAACACGUGGAUAACCUACCUAUAAGACUGGGAUAACUUCGGGAAACCGGAGCUAAUACCGGAUAAUAUAUUGAACCGCAUGGUUCAAUAGUGAAAGACGGUUUUGCUGUCACUUAUAGAUGGAUCCUCGCCGCAUUAGCUAGUUGGUAAGGUAACGGCUUACCAAGGCGACGAUGCGUAGCCGACCUGCGAGGGUGAUCGGCCACACUGGGACUGAGCCGCGGUCCAGACUCCUACGGGAGGCAGAAGUAGGGACUCUUCCGCAAUGGGCGAAAGCCUGACGGAGCAACGCCGCGUGAGUGAUGAAGGUCUUCGGAUCGUAAAACUCUGUUAUUAGGGAAGAACAAUUGUGUAAGUAACUAUGCACGUCUUGACGGUACCUAAUCAGAAAGCCACGGCUAACUACGUG
rnacentral:rRNA from 1 species